ensembl:lncRNA
UUGUGCCAGGGGACCUUUCUGGAGACCGUGGACAGUUUCUGAAGUGUCCUUAUGCUCCCCGCUUUUACACAGGUGCUGCCUCCGACGUUCCCAGGCAGGGCUUGUGUGUUCCCUCCUGGGCAAAGCAAGAGUCAGAGUGAACGUGAGGUGGCUACGACCCCCCCGCCACUCAGCACAGCUGAGCAAGUAAGAGGAGAUAAAGAAGAGAAGAUGGCCAAAGUCAGAGUUGCUGCAAAUCCUCUGACCACAAGAAAUGGGAGCGAGUGCUCACAAAACUGCCUUGAGUCGCUGGAAGAGCUGCAGACUGUAGCCACGUGCCUCAUCCCUACGUGUUCCACCAACCUUACACCCAGUGCUCUCUUCUGAGCGACAUCGCUGGUCUGGUUUGCCUGGGACUGCACUGGUCUCCCCAGCGCUCCUCUCCGGGGAGCUGCCUUCACUUCCCAUGCUGCAAAGGGCCUUCUUGACAACUGCUGGCCGGGAGGGGGGAGGCGAAGGGGUCUCCGGUACUAUCUGGCCUCGGUUCAGUUACUUCGAGCAUUGAUUUAUAAGAUCAUCGUGUAUGUGCUGAGGUCCAGUACAUGGUCUUUCUAAUCUCUUGGUGUGGUAUGUGCAUCUUGCUCAGAGCUUCGGAGGACAGAUGGAAGCGGAUCACGUGAAACUUCCUCCUCUGUUUCUGCUGCUUCUUUUGAAUGAAUUUCCAUUCUAGGUGUGCUUAUAGGUGGAGAGGGUUUUUUUCCUUGUUUGAAUCUUUUCAUUUUCUAGCAGGUAUUUUCAUUUUAUGGCCUUAUGAUUGUAGAAUUUUGUAACAAAUAUUAAAGUUUGUACAAAUACUGCACAUAUAAAUGGAAAUGUGUGUAAGCANNNNNNNNNNNNNNNNNNNNNNNNNNNNNNNNNNNNNNNNNNNNNNNNNNNNNNNNNNNNNACUGUUCAACAGUAAAAUUGAGGCUAAAAGGUCUGUGCUCUGAUUUCGAGAACAUCACAGGCAGCAAUUAUAGCCUAAACGUUUAAUUCAGAACAGAGUUGCUCAACUUCGGAAAUUGCAUUUUGUAUGCUACCCCUAAAUUGUGCUACUCGCUCAUGAUGCAUCAGGAACGUUUUGGGAAGGUUUUAACAAGAGCAGUGUUCAUUCAUGUGUUGCGUCUGGUGUUUUGUGUUCAAAUACUCAAGAUGAUGCUUCUCUUGCUUUGACUGAAAAAGGUUUUUGGGCUGGCGCCUGUUGUUUAUUAGAAAUGUCUUCAAGACAAAAGCUUUGAUAUGUCAGAACAUCUAUGGGUAAAGUCACCUUGAAACUGAAAGGCUACAAAUGAUUGCAAGGUGAAUCAUGCUUUCGACAGCAUCUUCGGUGAUUUUUGUCAAUAGAAGCCAGAAAAAAUGGUGGGUCAUGAACUGGUAAUUCAGCUUCUGUAUAUCUGGGGUUUUUUUUCCCGUAUUUGGAGCUUGGUUAGCAGCAAGCUGUUGCGUUCUCCUUGCUGACACGUCUGAUGGGCUGAAUACCGAACGCUUGUGCAAGCUGUGAACCCCAGGCGCUACAGGCUCUCCAGCGACCAGCCCAAGCUCCUUCUGGAGACUUGGAUGAAACGUCUCGGAGGCGCCUGUUCUUUUAGUGCUAUCGCACAAUCAGUCGCUAAACUCGGAAGGAGCUGUCCUUAAAACGCGGACGGGCUGAGCCAGCUCUUCCCCUCUGUGGACCGCUCCCUGCCCCACGUCGUUAGCUGCCUCUGGAGCGUCCUUCCCUCUGUUGCUGCUUGUUCAAACCAGGUGUUAACAACACGCUCUCUAGGGAAGUCUUGUUUUAUAUCUGAGCCAAUAUCGUUAUUAAUCCACUUGGGGAGCAUGGCGUCUUCCCUUCCUGGUUUAAAUUGAGGGUAAGUUUGGCUGAAAGAAAAUUUCGUGGUGUUUUUCCUCACGCUACUGAGUUAAAAUCACCGGGUGAGUUGGUGGGUUUUGUGCUUCCACCUCUGCAGAUGACCUUGCUAGUGAAGGAGGACAGACUCACAGGCACACCUGUAUCUCCCUGUUGCUGUGCGCCAGCUGCUGGAGAUGAAGAAACUCCCCUGAAACUGCAUAAACUGUCUCUUGAGCUCGAUCUUCAUAGCCUCCUGCAGCGGUGUACAAGAUACUCGUUACCUGAGCCACAGCCCGAGCCAGGAUAUUCUCUGUUUUAAUAUUCAAUUCUUUAUGUAAAUUUUUCUAUAACAGAAACAAGUAAUUUGAUGAGCAAACGUGUUCACUUCCUUUGUUUCACAGUAAGCUCCUCGCUCUGUGUUUAAAGCCGUCGAGCUUGGAAAAGCGUAAUCCCGAGCGGCAAAGGGGCUGAUUGAAGGCGGAAACAGACUCUCCCUUCCCAAGAUGUCCAUAAUCUGCACGCAGCAAAGCAAAACUCCGACCAAGGGCGGAUCACCUCGCGCACGAGCGUUGGAGGCCUCGUGCAUCUAGGAAUCAGACGCUGCUGGGGUUUCUGAAACCAGAAAGAAGAGAUUUUUCUUUUUCUGCUAAAACCAAAGGUACCGCAGCCAGCCCGAGGCCUCGCUUUUUUGUGCUUACUGGGACGGUUUCCAGUGUUUAAGUGAAGGGUGCUAGCCUUGAGAGCAGGAAAGAAGCAAAACCCCUCGCUUUGGUUGUCGUUGUUGCCUGCAAGGAGACAGGGACGCCUUAUGUCUUUAGUCUGGAACCCAUUCUUAUAUUUAAGAAAAAUAACAAAGAGUUAAAUAGCACAAGAUUUCUUUUGCCUAGGGAAAGCUUUAGCUGAUAGAAGCUUAAUUCAGCAUUUGAUGUGAUUUAAAUUAGUUACGGAUGUGACACACUGUAGCCAAAAAAAAAAAACAACCCUGUGCAUCAAGAAUACUUUUGAUCCUCUCCUUUUCAGUUAAAAUUGUAUUAAACUGUUAUUAAAAUAUUCAUAUGUGGUAGCUAUCAAAAUAAAACAACCCCCCCCCCAAUCUGUCCUGCUCUC